rnacentral:rRNA from 1 species
UCAGGAAGAAAAGGUUGCGGUUGGAGAAGUUUGAUCCUGGCUCAGAUUGAACGCUGGCGGCAUGCUUUACACAUGCAAGUCGGACGGCAGCACAGAGAAGCUUGCUUCUUGGGUGGCGAGUGGCGAACGGGUGAGUAACGCAUCGGAACGUACCGAGUAGUGGGGGAUAACUGUCCGAAAGGAUGGCUAAUACCGCAUACGCUUUGAGAAGGAAAGCGGGGGCUCUUCGGACCUCGCGCUAUUCGAGCGGCCGAUGUCUGAUUAGCUGGUUGGUGGGGUAAAGGCCUACCAAGGCGACGAUCAGUAGCGGGUCUGAGAGGAUGAUCCGCCACACUGGGACUGAGACACGGCCCAGACUCCUACGGGAGGCAGCAGUGGGGAAUUUUGGACAAUGGGCGCAAGCCUGAUCCAGCCAUGCCGCGUGUCUGAAGAAGGCCUUCGGGUUGUAAAGGACUUUUGUCAGGGAAGAAAAGGUUGCGGUUAAUACCCGCGGCUGAUGACGGUACCUGAAGAAUAAGCACCGGCUAACUAC